rnacentral:lncRNA from 1 species
GAGACUGAUUUGAGUAAUAAUAAAGCUCCAGCCUCCCACAUAGCCAGGUCUGUGUGAAUUACCCUUUCUCUACUGGAAUUCCCCUGUUUUGAUAAAUCAGCUCUGUCUAGGUAGCGGGCAAAGUGGACCCUUUGGGCAGUUACACUAUCCUUAGAGAUGGCGGCUCGAGAUGCUUCUCCAUUGGCUGGCAUCUGGUAACCUGGAUUUUGGGAGUCUGGAAUUUUGCUGCGCGCCGGGCAGAGGGUUCCUAUGUAACUGGCUUCCAUGUGCUUGAAUGUUGCCUUUUCCAAAACCACCCAUGGCCUGCCCCACCCCAUAUCCUGUGCCAUAAAAACCCCAGGUUCCACCUGCAGAGAGUGGAGGAGAAGAGGAUAAGCAGCUGGACGUUGGAGACUACAAUUUGAUGAUGGAGAGAAGCAGCUUGACUUCAGAGGGAUUGCCUGACGGCAUUGCUUCUGAACGGAGUCUGGGGGAGGAACACCUUCCCACUCCAUCCCCUUUCCAGCUCUCCUUCCUGAGAGCCACUUUCAUCAACAAUAAAUCCUCCCCAUUCACCACCCUUCAGUUCAUUCAUGCGACCUGAUUUUUCCUGGACACUGAAUAAGAGCUUGGCUGCCACGGAUGUGAAUGCUAAAGGCUGUCACAGUGACUCUCUGGCCUUGCUGGUGGAGAGCAACCACUUCAUGUGAAAAGGCAGAGGGCCCACUGAACUGUUUAACACUUAAGCCAUCCAUGGACAGCAAGGCCAAAAGAGAGCACUGUAACACACGCCCUCCAGGGCUUCGAGGGUGGUGGGUAUCCCCCUAGAUACUGCCGCAGGCCCUGCAUGGAGUUUUGUUCCUGCUGGUGCCCAAAGGCACUCACCCCACCUCCUGCGCCCACUCACCUGCAUGCUGCCUCUCAUAAGGGGUUGAAGCAAUGGGUUUGAGUAAGUGAAGUUUGUCCCUGCUGUCACCGAAGUGACCAGCUAGCUCCAGCACCCACACUCCAGUUCCCGUCCAUGAAGGAGUCAGGAAAAAUGUCUGCUUCACUUGCUGAAUUGCUGCUUUCCUUCUAGGAGUCUGGAAUUUUGCUGCAUGCCGGGCAGAGGGGUCCUAUGUAACUGGCUUCCAAUACAAGCCCUGGGCAUUGAAUUUCCAAUGGAACUAGCGUAGAUAAUAUUUCAAGUGUGUAGUCAUGAUUUGAGGCUGGGGGAACGAAGAGUGUCUUGAGUGUCUUGUAGUCACAAUUUGAGGCUGGAGGAAUUAAAAGUGUUUACUACAAAGAGAGAAGACUCUUCAAAAUUUUAGCCUGGUUUUCUCUGGACUUCACCACAUGGGCCGUUUCCUCUUGCUGAUUUUGCUUGUAUCCAUAAUAAAUCAUAGCUGGAGGUAAAACUUAUAUGCUGAGUCCUGUGAUGCCUCCUAGAAAAUCACCAAACCUAAGAGUAGACCUCCA